AUGAGCCAAUCAGAGGAGCGACGAAGUCUGGAAUAUACGACUUGGGAGGAAAUAGACAGGUGGGUGGUCGACCCAGAGAGAGUGCCGGAGCCCGCCUGGGAUUCGUUGGAGCAGUGCGCGGAAGGUUAUCGGAGAAUGGAGUUUGCGAAGCAAGCACAGCGGUGCGGAAGGAAGCCCGAGAUUCAGCCCCAAAAAUUCCUUUUUGGGGGGUGGCUCAGGGAGAGUGUGGCAGAGUCAGGGUUCAGACCUGAGCCAACUCCCCCUGUUUAUCGUGAGGAGCCAAGGAGGAGACCAGAACCAGAGCCUGUGUUGGAGGUGAGCGAAGCAGAGACUGUGAAGGAGUUAAUGGGGAAAUUGGAGGAGAGAGUUAUGAGGGAGUUGCUGUGUUGGUGCUUUAGGUACGGAAUUCACCCGACUGAGCGUGUCGGGGAUUUGAUGGCACCUGGGUCAGCGCUCCAUACUCGUCCUGAGGUGCGUGUUAGUCGGCUGGUGAAGAUUGUGCCAGCCUCACGCACUAGGCCUCCUGUGCACCUCCCUAGCCUUACACGUCCUGUGCCAGCCCUGCUCUCAAGAUCUCCAGUACGCCUUCACGGUCCGGUCCAUCCUGUGCUACCUCCACACACCAGUCCUCCGGUGGCAGCUCCCCACACCAGGCUUCCUGUACGUGUUCUCGGCCCAGUCCCACCAGUGCCACACCACGCAUCAGGCCUACAGUGCGCUCUUCCAGAUCUGCCAGUCAACCAGACUCUUCCAGAUCUGCCAGUCAACCAGACUCUUCCAGAUCAGCCAGUCAGCCAGGAUCUGCCAGAACCACCAGCCAGCCAGGAUCUGCCGGAUCCAACUACCUGCCUGAGCUUCUUCUCAGUGCUGAGCUUCCUCUGUGCUGAGCUUCCUCUCAGUGCCGAGCUUCCUCUCAGUGCUGAGCUUCCUCUCAGUGCCGAGCUUCUUCUCAGUGCCGAGCUACCCCUCAGUCCCGAGCUAUCCCUCAGUCCCGAGCUGCCACUCAGUCCCGAGCUGCCCCUCAGUCCAGUGGGGUUCCGGGUGAGGACUACUAGGCCAUGGUCGGCGGCGAGGGUGGACUAUCCAGGGACGCGAGGAGGAGGGACUAAGACAUUGAUAGAGUGGGGUCCACGUCCCGCGCCGGAGCCGCCACCAUGGACAGACGCCCACCCGGACCCUCCCUAUUGUUUUGAUGUGUGUCCGGGAGUCCGCACCUUAGGGGGGUUCUGUCACGCCCUGGUCGAGGUAUUUUGUGUUUAUCUUCAUUUAUUUGGUCAGGCCAGGGUGUGGCAUGGGUUUUUGUAUGUGGUGUGUUUUGUCCUGGGGUUUUGUUAGGUAUUGGGUUUGUGGCUUAGUAGGGUUAUCUAGCUUAGUCUAUGGCUGUCUAGAGUAGUUCUCAAUCAGAGGCAGGUGUUUAUCGUUGUCUCUGAUUGGGAACCAUAUUUAGGCAGCCAUAUUCUUUGAGUGUUUCGUGGGUGAUUGUCCUUAGUGUCCUUGUAACUGUCUUGUGUGUUAGUUUGCACUAGUUUAGGCUGUUUCGGUUUUCACGUGACGUUUAUUGUUUUGUAUUGAUUCGUGUUUACGUUGUUUUUAUUAAACAUGAAUCUCAAUAGCCACGCCGCAUUUUGGUCCGACUCUCCUUCUACCGAAGAAAGCCGUUACAUCUACGUCUACAUUGCUUGCUGUUUGGGGUUUUAGGCUUGGCUUCAGGAUAGCACUUUGUGACAUCUGCUGAUGUAACAAGGGCUUUAUAAAUACAUUUGAUUGAUUGAUUGAUACGCUGUCAUUAUUGAAAUGAAACAGUUCCACAAAAUCAUAACUGCCGUGCAGAUCGGUAGGAUCAAUUGUAAGCUUCCCCAAACUUAAACGUUCUGCCGACAUCUAGGUCAUUUAACAGGCACUCUCAUCCAAAGCAAAUGCACAUCAAAACGUUUUACCUGGUCGGCUCAGGGGUUUGAACCAGCAACCUUUCAGUUACAGUUACUGGCCCAACGCUCUUAACCACUAGGCUACUUGCCUACAGUUUUACUGUAACACCCAUUCAAAUCAUUUGUGCAUGCUCAAGCGCAUGCACACAUAGAAUGUCCCAUGAAAAAAAUGUGCCCCCCUAUGGAAAUCAAAUGCCUGUCCAACUGAUUUGCAGGCCCUGGAGCUGCCCAUGCUAAAACAAGCUUUUGGACACUAGAGUCAUCUACCACUUUGGGCUCAACAAACCUAAAUCAUUGCCAGCAGAGGUCAGCAUUGUAUAGUUAUGAUUUCUAUGUUCGUCAGCAACUGGGAAUGUAUGUGGGAACGCUCCUGCCCAGUACCCACGGACUGUAAUGCACAAUACAGGCCAGUAGAAUGUGACAGAUCAUGUACUGGAGAUUUCACAAGUCCAUGAGGUAGUGGUGGCAUUGGUGCUGACGCAGGCUAAUGUCAUUUUCAAUGUUUCCUUCGAUAAACAUACAGUGGGGCAAAAAGGUAUUUAGUCAGCCACCAAUUGUGCAAGUUGUCCCACUUAAAAAGAUGAGAGAGGCCUGUAAUUUUCAUCAUAGGUACACUUCAACUAUGACAGGCAAAAUCCAGAAAAUCACAUUGUAGGAUUUUUAAUGAAUUUAUUUGCAAAUUAUGGUGGAAAAUAAGUAUUUGGUCACCUACAAACAAGCAAGAUUUCUGGCUCUCACAGACCUGUAACUUAUUCUUUAAGAGGCUCCUCUGUCCUCCACUCGUUACCUGUAUUAAUGGCACCUGUUUGAACUUGUUAUCAGUAUAAAAGACACCUGUCCACAACCUCAAACAGUCACACUCCAAACUCCACUAUGGCCAAGACCAAAGAGCUGUCAAAGGACACCAGAAACAAAAUUGUAGACCUGCACCAGGCUGGGAAGACUGAAUCUGCAAUAGGUAAGCAGCUUGGUUUGAAGAAAUCAACUGUGGGAGCAAUUAUUAGGAAAUGGAAGACAUACAAGACCACUGAUAAUCUCCCUCGAUCUGGGGCUCCACGCAAGAUCUCACCCCGUGGGGUCAAAAUGAUCACAAGAACGGUGAGUAAAAAUCCCAAAACCACACCGGGGGACCUAGUGAAUGACCUGCAGAGAGCUGGGACCAAAGUAACAAAGCCUACCAUCAGUAACACACUACGCCGCCAGGGACUCAAAUCCUGCAGUGCCAGACGUCUCCCCCUGCUUAAGCCAGUACAUGUCCAGGCCCGUCUGAAGUUUGCUAGAGAGCAUUUGGAUGAUCCAGAAGAUUGGGAGAAUGUCAUAUGGUCAGAUGAAACCAAAAUAUAACUUUUUGGUAAAAACUCAACUCGUCGUGUUUGGAGGACAAAGAAUGCUGAGUUGCAUCCAAAGAACACCAUACCUACUGUGAAGCAUGGGGGUGGAAACAUCAUGCUUUGGGGCUGUUUUUCUGCAAAGGGACCAGGACGACUGAUCUGUGUAAAGGAAAGAAUGAAUGGGGCCAUGUAUCGUGAGAUUUUGAGUGAAAACCUCCUUCCAUCAGCAAGGGCAUUGAAGAUUAAACGUGGCUGGGUCUUUCAGCACGACAAUGAUCCCAAACACAACGAAGGAGUGGCUUCGAGUGGCUUCGCAAGAAGCAUUUCAAGGUCCUGUAGUGGCCUAGCCAGUCUCCAGAUCUCAACCCCAUAGAAAAUCUUUGGAGGGAGUUGAAAGUCCGUGUUGCCCAGCAACAGCCCCAAAACAUCACUGCUCUAGAGGAGAUCUACAUGGAGGAAUGGGCCAAAAUACCAGCAACAGUGUGUGAAAACCUUGUGAAGACUUACAGAAAACGUUUGACCUCUGUCAUUGCCAACAAAGGGUAUAUAAAAAAAGUAUUGAGAUAAACUUUUUUUAGUGAACAAAUACUUAUUUUCCACCAUAAUUUGCAAAUAAAUUCAUAGAAAAUCCUACAAUGUGAUUUUCUGGAUUUUUUUGUCAUUUUGUCUGUCAUAGUGGAAGUGUACCUAUGAUGAAAAUUACAGGCCUCUCUCAUCUUUUUAAGUGGGAGAACUUGCACAAUUUGUUGCUGACUAAAUACUUUUUUGCCCCACUGUACAUGUACAGUCAUUGUUACCUCAACUGAGAGUGAAAUACAUUUGGUUUCACAAAGGAUUAUUUAUAGGCCUAUUAGAAGUUGUUGGUGGAAAGUCCCCUUAUGGGUUAUGCCACAGCACCGAAACUGUGAAGAAAUGUCUAAUAAAGCCUUGAAGGCAUAGGUAGGUAGUGCUGACCCUGUACACAGUAAGAGAAGAGUACAGUACCAUUAUGGCACAUAGAAAGGUGAUGAAGUGAGUCCUACAGUAGAGCAAACACAAAUCAGGUUACUGUGACAACAACCGUGUUGAUGCUGGUUGUGAGAGAAAAGAUUCAAACCCCAUCGCCACUCUGUAAUAGUAACCCCCCUGUCCCCUCGUCAUGUGCCCCCCAUACCAUAGCUCCCCUGUUCCCCCCCACCAGCUAUCCUCGCUGUCACCCCUGUCCCUAAGCCCCUCUGUGACUCUCCAACCCCUCACUGUCACCCCUCAGUUCCCCCAACCCCCCACCCCCCUGGACCCGGCUGUGAAUCCCCAGUUUCAUCAGUCCCUCAUGCCCCCACUCGCUAGCCUUGUCCAAUGCUGCCGUUUUUAUCUCGAUACCAAAUCAUUUUGUGGUAACCAUUAAUUACCUUACUGUAUUGUCAAAAAUAAAUAAAAAUAGCUUCUAAGCAAAGAGCAAUUUCUCAAGCAAGAGCUUUGCUAGGACUGUCUAAGAGUGGUUUGAGUGGGGAGGGAAACACUGAAAACUAGCAGAGAGAUUUGGAUGUCAUUGGCAGAAAGAUUUGGAUGUCACCAGGCAGAGAGAUUUGGAUGUCACCAGGCAGGCUAAAACACCAUCCCCCCAAACAGGCUGACAUUUUAGGCAGUCUUUUCAACAGCUCUUACACUAAAAGGGCAUUAUCAUAAUUUUCACAAUUUCUGAGUAUUAUUGCAACCACAUAGUGUGGAAAUACUGUAUAUAUAAAAUACAGGAAAUCAUGUUUUUGAAGGCACUAGGCAUUUAAGCUUGCGAGAUCAGGAUGGUUCAUAAGAGGCUACAACCCCUCCAGCCCAGUCCCCCAAUACCGUGGCUCCCCUGUUCCCACCCUAUCCCUCUUCACUGUCACACCUGUCACUGCUGUCCCUCAGUCCCCACCCCUCCAAACUGCCCGGACUCCCCUGGUCCUCCCCAGACUCAUCAGUAUUCUUCUCCUGGUCCAGGAUCAAAGGCACCGGUCUCCCCUGCAACAGUAGCAGAGGCAGCAGCAGAGUGACGGGAUGCGUCCCAAAUGGCACCCUAUUCCCCACAUAGUGCACUACUUUUGACCAGGGCCCAUAGGCUCAUUGCUCAUCCAUAUUUAUAUGUACAUAUUCUUAUUCCAUCCCUUUAGAUUUGUGUGUAUUAGGUCGUUGUUGAGGAAAUGUAAGAUUACUAGUUAGAUCAUUUUGCACUGUCGGAACUAGAAGCACAAGCAUUUCGCUACACUCGCAUUAACAUCUGCUAAUCAUGUGUAUGUGACCAAUAACAUUUGAUUUGUAGCACUACCCUGGC
rnacentral:lncRNA from 13 species